GAUGAAGAACGUAGCGAAAUGCGAUAAGUAAUGUGAAUUGCAGAAUUCAGUGAAUCAUCGAAUCUUUGAACGCACAUUGCGCCCGCUGGUAUUCCGGCGGGCAUGCCUGUUCGAGCGUCAUUUCAACCCUCAAGCUCUCCGGAGUUUGGUGUUGGGGCGCCUGGGGCUUUUCGACCUCAGGGCCCUCAAGUCCAUCGGCGGGACUGCCAGGACACUGAGCGCAGUAGUAUUAUUUCGCUCGGUAGGAUCUUCCACGGCGGGUCGAUCUGGCCGCUAAACCCCCCAAUUCUCACCAAAGGUUGACCUCGGAUCAGGUAGGAAUACCCGCUGAACUUAAGCAUAUCAAUAAGCGGAGGA
rnacentral:misc_RNA from 1 species